GUGUUGCGCGCGGCCACUCCUCUUAUAAACGUGCGCAACCUUCAACCGGAAAAACCAGUUAAGCUGAAUGGAAGGAGAAAGACACGGGCUCAACAGUCCUGUAUGAUUUCAUUGAAUGGAAAGCAGCUUUGACAUUCUUCAAGUGUCCUUUUGUGUUCCACAUGGAAGAAAGAAGAACAUGAAGUACCUGCUUCAUCGACUCCUGCCCUGUCAUGUCCAGACCAGACAGUGUUUAAGCCGUUAGCAAUGCAAAAGAAUAAAAGUUGCAUAUGAAAACAGAUGUACAUCAGUUAUUGUCACCCACUGUUCCAGUACUUUCCUGUGCAGUUCUGAUAAUGAGGCCUGUGCAUGAGGUCCAGAUUUGUCAUAAAUGCAUCUUGUCUCAUCAUUCUGUUUUCAACCUCUUCUCAACCCCCUUUCAAACUAAUUCCUUCCCCUCCCCCUCUCCCUCUUUCUCUUUAUUCAAAGCCAUUGAUCAUGCAUGCAGAAAUUUAGCACGCCCAUAGCUCCAGUCGGGAGCACUGGGGCGCUGUCCUACAUACUGCUUCUCCACACACACACUCAUCCUGACACCACAAUCAAAUACACAAGCAUCCACACACACACACACACACACAUAUACAGGCUAACCGCGCUGACAAACUUAUGAGCCGUGAUAAAUAAGCAUGCAAAUUUUUUUACAAAUGAUGGCAUGCAUUUCUACCUGUUUGGCCUCCGAACUGCUCUCAAAACUUUUGGAACAUGAGUUUUAUUUUGAAUCUGAUCAUUCAGAUUUUCAUCUUGCAUCUGUUUUCUC